AACUUUUUAAUGAUGUUCAGAAUAUUCUGGCCGACUAAUGUGAGUACAGUUAUAGCUCUUUCCAAAGAGCUAAUUCCACAAGGGAAAUGUACUUUUUUUCCCCUUAAUUGAUCCAUUGCUAAAUUGCUUCAGUUGUGUCCUACUCAUUAUGACCCUAUGGACCAGAGCCUACCAGGCUACUCUGUCCAUAGGGAUUUCCAGGCAAGAAUACUGGAGUGGGUUGCCACGUUCUCCUCCAGGGGAUCUUCCUGACCCAGCAUAAAUUCUAAAAUCUAGCAAGAAGAGCAGGACUUUCUGGCACAGAAAAUUUGCGAGAUCGGUGGUUGGGGGUUCUAAUUUUCAAAGACCUCCCUCAGAGAUUGAGAUAGUUGUGUCCUCUUGGGUCAUAGCAGGAAAUUCACAUUGUAUCUGAAAAGUUCACCGGCAUCUUGGUCCCUUCUCAAGUACCUGGUGCAUACCAAACCACAUGCAGGAUCUUAGUUCCUCAACCAGAGAUUGAACCUGUAACCCCUGCAUUGGAAGUGUAACGUUUUAACCGCUGGACCACCAGGAAAGUCCCUCUUCUUCUCCAUCUCUUGAUUUACAUCUCCUUUGCCUUAUGUUGGCUUUAUUCCCAGAUAGGUCAUCUCUUUGGUAACAAGAUGCCUGCCAGGAUUUCCAGACUUAAAUCUCAUCAGCAGUCUCAACAAAAAGCAAACUCUCUUCUGCUGCUGCUAAGUUGCUUCAGUUGUGUCCGACUCCGUGCAACCCCAUAGAUGGCAGCCCACCAGGCUCCGCCGUCCCUGGGAUUCUCCAGGCAAGAAUACUGGAAUGAGUUGC
ensembl:lncRNA